CAAAUCAAAAAUUUUAACAACAAACCGAAAUGAAUUGGAAAAUUGAAUUUGCAACCAAAUGCAAACUCAAAAUUUCAAAAUCCAAACCCAAAUCGAAAAUUGAAAAUCGAUUAAUUGGUUAUGGAGUGAAUCUGUAAUUGGGUAACCAGUCAUAUAUGAACUUCAAAGUUCAAACCACAAACCCAAAAUUCUUUGUAAUUAAACUGCCAUUGAAAUCGAUGCAAUUGCAAAUGAGAUACAUACAUAACAGAAAAAAUCAACAUAUCUGCAAGCUGCCAUUGAAACCCAGAUGCAAUUCCAAAUGAGAUACCAAUUAAAACUUCCCCUCUCCAACAUCAACAUCUCAAACCCCAUUUCCAAAACGAUGUUGGGCUUGAUUCUAGAUAGAGUGGGUGGAAUUGGAAUUUGGUGUUCUGAAAUUCAUAUAUUUGAUUUUGGGACCCAUUUUAAAAACUAGCUGCUUUAUUAAGAUCGGAAUUGAAAUCUAAAUCGUUUGGCUGGAAAAAAAAAUCUCAGAAGGACCAUAUUUUUCAUAAAAUUGUUGUUGUUCUUGCCUUGGAUCUUUCUUUGUGCUCUGUAUUUGAUAAGAUAGAGAAACGAAAUCAAGAGCCCAACACUUUCCUCCUGUCAGUAUUCAAUACCUAAAAUAAACCAAACAUGAAUCCAAAAACUUGAGCGUCGUCUUCUUCAUCGUCGCUUUCUUCGGUAGGUAAACACAAAUCGCAAAUACAAAAAUCUAUGUCAUUUUCUUCACCACCGCUUUUCUAUACCGCUCCACCGAAGAAUCUGUGUUUGAGAUCUGAUCUAUGUUGCCGUCCUCCUUUUUCCACUACAUCCUCCUCCAUAAAUCUGAUCGAUGCUUUGAGGUUUUAGUUAAUUGUUU
rnacentral:lncRNA from 1 species